GUUUGAAUAGUUCACUGUUGUAACUAUGUUGCAAUAUUACUAGAAUGCAGGUGUAAUGAAGAAGUCCUUAGUAGAAGAUAGAGCGCAAAAAAGGUUCCGGGGUGAGCCUAUGCAACGAUAUAAUAAUGCAGUUGUGAUGAAGCAAUCUUCAUCAGAAGAGAGGCCCACAAAAAGUUCUGAUCUUUCUUCUAAUGCAUCCUCUCAUAGCCGUCAACCUAGACCAUUCCUUUCAUCAAACAGUAAAUAUCUCAAGGCUGUACUUUAUAAAAGACAUGGUAUUGCUGCUUUAAGAUCUGUAGCUGAUAUGUUGACCAAGAGUACACAAGAUUCAAUCAAGGCGAUUGCCAAAUGUCAACGUGUUAUUGAUGAUGCUAAUAGAAGUCCUCAAUGA